GGUGAGUAACGCGUGGGAAUCUACCUUAAGCUACGGGAUAACAGAGAGAAAUUUCUGCUAAUACCGUAUGUGGCCUAUGGGCGAAAGAUUUAUCGGCUUAAGAUGAGCCCGCGUUGGAUUAGCUAGUUGGUGGGGUAAAGGCCUACCAAGGCGACGAUCCAUAGCUGGUCUGAGAGGAUGAUCAGCCACACUGGGACUGAGACACGGCCCAGACUCCUACGGGAGGCAGCAGUGGGGAAUAUUGGACAAUGGGCGGAAGCCUGAUCCAGCCAUGCCGCGUGAGUGAAGAAGGCCUUAGGGUUGUAAAGCUCUUUCACCGGUGAAGAUAAUGACGGUAACCGGAGAAGAAGCCCCGGCUAACUUCGUGCCAGCAGCCGCGGUAAUACGAAGGGGGCUAGCGUUGUUCGGAUUUACUGGGCGCAAAGCGCGCGUAGGCGGAUAGAUAAGUCAGAGGUGAAAUCCCGGGGCUCAACCCCGGAAUUGCCUUUGAUACUGUUUAUCUUGAGUGCAGAAGAGGUAAGUGGAAUUCCGAGUGUAGAGGUGAAAUUCGUAGAUAUUCGGAGGAACACCAGUGGCGAA
rnacentral:rRNA from 2 species